GUUUGCUGUCACCCUGAUUUCACAUUGAUAGUAAAUGACAAAUUGGAGCAACUCUGUUAAAACAUAAUUCUGAACAGACUGUGAGGCAUAUGCUAGCACAAAGUAAAAAAGGCCCAGGUCACAGCAAGUGGAGUGUACCAGGUCGAGGCUCCUCUGCACCUGAUCCAGAGACCUGCCCUAGUUGUCGAGGUACGGAAACAGGUGGACUCCCCAACGUCUGAGGUAAGCGGCCACCGGCGCCAUGCACUUUGUGAACACCCUCAGAGCCAAAGAGAGUGCCAUGAACUGGAAAUGGUGCCCUCCCACCAGAAAUGGAGGAAGCACCUGUGGCCCGGGAAUAUAGAAAUAUGGAAGUAGUGUCUUUCAAGUCAAGAGCGACGUACCAGUCUCCCAGAUCCAGGAAUGCAUAGACUAAAGGGGGAAAGGAAAAACCACAUGAAAGACAAAACCUCAGAACCGGGGACAUAGAAGUGCAACCUGGACACUGUAUGCAGCCCUCUACAGUAUGUAAGUCUGAAACUGAAGUUUAUACAUUUGACCCUUCUGCCAGCAGCUAAACCACAGCAUAACAGAAAAAGGAUGCAAUCAGCUACUUCAGUUUGCUCGUAUUGUUAUCGUGAAUUAACAAAGACAAAGCUUAUGAAAAGUUCCUGAGAAGAGAGAGGUGCCCUGCUAUCUUCCUCCCGGGGAUUAGUAUUUUCCUCUUAAAAAUCAGAUCCUGUCCUAUCCAGGUUUCAACACAGAAAUGGCAUUCAUACUUCAGAACAACAGACAGAAAUCAAUUAUCCACACUAACACAGCUAGAUUACUGAUUGCCUUCAACACCCUUGACAAUGAAGUAUUGCCAACCUGCUAGGUGGAAUCACACUGAACUGGUUCCACUCAUUCCUCCUGGAUAGGUCCCCAAAGGGUGGCAAUGAGCACCUCGUCUUCUUCUACCAGGUCCUAACCUAAAGAGACUAUCAGGCUCAGUCCUGUCCUCUCCAUCUAGUUCAACAAUCCAGCCACUGAAAGAGACUGAGAGAUGUACUGUGGACUCCAAUACCUUCAAUAUGCAGAAGAUACUCAAUCUUUACUUCUCCAUAAAAAAAAUGAAGACUCUUUCCUUAAGGACUCAAAUGCCUGACAGGGAAACACGAUGAAUAGCUAAAGGCUCAAGCUAAACCCAGAUAUAAAACAAUCCAGAUGCUGCUGAUCUUUACCCCUUUAAACUAUACUACCGGUAAUCUUCAGUGCCCAGCCUUUGAUUCUUGUUUAUAUUAUGCUAGUCUGCCUUUAAAAGGAUUUGUUCCUAACUUUGUCUUCAUUUUUUCCUGCUAUAAAUCGAAUAUGCUCAGUGAAAUGGAAAAAAAUUAUCUGUGAAGGCAAUUAUUUCUAAUAGACUAAAUGAGGGUCCAUAAUCUGCAAUGCUUCAUGUUAGCGCUAAUUUAAUCUGUAAUAUUUUCCCUUCAUAUUAGCCUUUGUGGGUGUGUUCCUGUCGAAUACUAUUUAGACCAAAAAUCUCUAUUUCCAAAUUCCUUAAUUCUUGUCACAUUUUUUUUAUGAAGCGGACUCGGUUUCUCCCCACAAUGCAUCAAUACUUCAUAGGUAAUAAGAUAUCAAUUUAUAACACAUACAACUCUCCACAUAAAACACAACAAAUCCAGUUGCAUGGAUGUGUAUUUGAAUCACAGAAAUUAGAGGCAUAAAUAUCUAUCAG